GCAGAGCUGCGUCUGGAGUGGCCUCGCCCUGGGCUCUGAGGAAAUGCAGCAAGGCAACACAACUGAGGACUGCGCCCUGGGGGCCCUUUCUCCCAGAGGCUCUGCCCAAGGCCAGCGUGAUGUCCCAAGGGGCACAACUGCAGCUGUGACUACUGCCUGCCCUCCGGAGGACCCGCAGACCACAGCUGACCAAUGGAUGUGGAAGGGCUGGGGGCUGCCCUGGGAGGUCUGAUGAAAGUCUGUGGGGAUGCCUGAGUGUCUUCCAGCACCGGCUGGGAUUUAAUGCGGCUCAGUUCAAAAGCCCACGGCCGAGACUGUCAAGGCUGGCCAUUGCAUCUUGGCCAACCUGGGCGGUACACCCCACUCUGAGGUGUACCUUGAAACAGUCGAGAAAACCCGGGGAGGCAUAAAGGACUUCUCUUGACUGUUUCAAGGAACACCUUGAAGUGUAUGCUUGAUUGUACACACCUGGGCACAGAUGCACCCCUGGCCUUCUCUGCAGCCUAUGGUGGGGGAACUGGCAGCAGAGAAGGGCCACGGGUGGUGAUUUGCUUUCUAUGUCAACUGGAAGGGCAAACAGUGAUUUCAAACAUUACUUUCAGCAAUGUUAUGAACUUAAUCUCAAAAAGCCUCAGAAAAUUUCUUACCUGACAAAUUCAUCUCUGAAAACCAACCAUCCACUGUCAAUGAGAAGGCAUAAAAUUUGAGAAAAGACAAAAAACCUGUGUCAUGUGACACAGAAGAUCACGGUCACAUGGCAGGGUGCCACAAACAGCAGCGGUGGCAGUGACUCAUGCAGUCAGCCCUGCCCGGGGCCGCUGGGUGCCCACCGUGGUGACAGCACCCGGGACUUCCUGCUGGAAUCACACAGCAUCACUCACCAACUUCUAGGCCGAAAAACAAAACCAAACCACAAACGAAAACUAAGACAGCAGGUCCUACCAGAGGGAGAUGCGACGUACACUGUAGGAACGGAGUUCUGACCCACUUUGGUCCUGACCUCUUACAAAGAUGGCGCCCCCCGGCGUGGCACGAUUCCCGCCUCUUCCAGCGUUCUCUCCAGCAGCGCAGCAACGCACUUGCCCGAUGACCUCCCGCUGCGAGAUACAGGCGGGAGCCUCACCGCACAGAGACGGCCCCACCGCGGGGCGCGCACGUCGCCUCCAGGGCCUCCUCCAGUCCUCAUCUUCUCCUUGGGAGUUCGGGUGCCCUGUGACACGAGCACCUCCCAUUCUCCCGGAAAACCUUCCGCAGGAUUUGGGCCACUUCCGGAUGUUUUUGCUCCAGGAGUGCCACAGAGCGCCUCUCCCGUAGCUGGAGUUAACAGACGGGGCCAGCGCCAGGAACACAUGAAUUUGGGGUCAACCCCGGGAAGCCGGGAAGGCAAAGCCUGGGGACUCUCUCAGGAGGUCGGGACACAGAACAGGCUUAGCAGCUGCGGGACCCGCGCUUGGCCAUUUUUAUCUUGCUGAAAAUGUUUGCAGCACAGUUCAGGCAUGUCCUGUGCCUCCAGCUGGCUGUCCUUCCAUGUGGUGAGGCAUCGCACACACCUGGGCACAGAUGCACCCCAUCCUUCUCUGCAACCUGUGGUCGGGGAGCCGGAGGCAGAGAAGGGCCAUGGGUGGCGAUUUGCUUUCUACAACAACUGGAAGGGCAGAAAGUGAUUCCAAACAUGACUUACAGCAAUGUUGUGAACUUAAUCUCAAAAAGCUCCAGAAAACUUGUUACUAGCAUGACAAAGUCAUCUCUGAAAACCAACCAUCCAUUGUCAAUGAGAAAAACGCACAAAAUUUGAGGAAAGACAAAGAAAGCACUUGUUAGUGUUUUUCUGGAAAAAAAAAAUCCCUUCUUGCCCAAGAGUAAUAUAUGUUCAUUAUAGAGCUUUUUAAACUUCGAGGAAGUAAAAAAAUUGAAAUGAAAACUGUCCACAUUUCUUUUGCCCAGAGAUGGCCACUGUCAGCACUGUUGCAAGCCCUGCUCUCUCUCCUCUCCUUUUCUGUACGUACGUGUACUUUUAAAAAUAAACAUAGGCGUUUUCAUUCCUCUUAAAAGAUAUGAAAUUUCCUAAUAGAAAAUAAACUUAGUCUUCUCUUUAAAAUGUUUACUCAAAAAUUUUAUCUUACACAUUUGUAUCGGAUAUGCAUGUGUAUAAAUAUUACUGAUGAAUUGUCAAUAACGAAAAAUGAAUUUUCAGUAAAGACAACAUUUUAACCUUCCUUUUCUUGUUUGUUGCUCUUUUG
rnacentral:lncRNA from 1 species